AUGUGUGAAUGGUGCCAGGUGCAAAAACCAUCCGGGUUCUUUUCAAUGCGUGUGCUUGGCUGGAUUUACAGGAAAUUUGUGCGAGAAUGACCUUGAUGAGUGUGCUAGUAACCCAUGCACCGCUGGAUCCACGUGUCAAAACCGCCAUGGUCACUUUGUGUGCGUUUGCCCAGCAGGCUUUGCGGGGAAUCUUUGCCAGUUUGAUAUCAGCGAAUGUUUUAGUCGGCCGUGCCAGCGGGGAGGAACGUGUAUGGAUUUAGUUAACGGCUAUAGAUGCAUCUGCCCUGCU